rnacentral:rRNA from 1 species
UACGUAGGGUGCAAGCGUUGUCCGGAAUUAUUGGGCGUAAAGAGCUCGUAGGCGGUCUGUCGCGUCGGAUGUGAAAAUCCAGGGCUCAACCCUGGACCUGCAUUCGAUACGGGCAGACUAGAGUUCGGUAGGGGAGACUGGAAUUCCUGGUGUAGCGGUGAAAUGCGCAGAUAUCAGGAGGAACACCGGUGGCGAAGGCGGGUCUCUGGGCCGAAACUGACGCUGAGGAGCGAAAGCGUGGGGAGCGAAC